rnacentral:rRNA from 1 species
UACAGAGGGUGCAAGCGUUAUUCGGAAUUACUGGGCGUAAAGCGUGCGUAGACGGUAUCGUAAGUCGGGUGUGAAAGCCCCGGGCUCAACCUGGGAAUUGCAUUCGAGACUGCAUGGCUAGGGUGCGGAAGAGGGAAGCGGAAUUUCCGGUGUAGCGGUGAAAUGCGUAGAUAUCGGAAGGAACACCAGUGGCGAAAGCGGCUUCCUGGUCCAGCACCGACGUUCAGGCACGAAAGCGUGGGGAGCAAACAGG